rnacentral:rRNA from 1 species
UACGGAGGGUGCGAGCGUUGUUCGGAAUUACUGGGCGUAAAGCGUGCGCAGGCGGUUUUGUAAGCCAGAUGUGAAAUCCCCGGGCUUAACCUGGGAAUGGCAUUUGGGACUGCAAGGCUUGAGUGCGGCAGAGGAGACUGGAAUUCCCGGUGUAGCAGUGAAAUGCGUAGAUAUCGGGAGGAAUACCGAUGGCGAAGGCAGGUCUCUGGGCUGACACUGACGCUCAUGCACGAAAGCGUGGGGAGCAAACAGG